UGUUCAAGCAGACUUUGAGCGUGAAUCCUCUAGCAUUUCACGAAGGCAACAAGCGUGCAGAGAAGAUAGAAACGCUUCCUGAGCAGAAGAUGAAGCUGUCCGUGAUGUUGUUGGUGACUUGGCUUGCAGCUUGCCUGGCUGGUGCACAGCGGGAUCCUCAGCACGCGAGGCCUAACGUCACUGCGGUAGUUAACCGCAGUGACGACGCUGGUGUGGUCCGCACGAUACACACCAGCAAAGACGGCCGCACUCGCCUAGAGCUGCGCAAGACGUACGACGAGCCCUCCGACGAGAAACCCAAGUUCUCUGGUUUUCGGUUCUCGCAUCGAUUCUGAUGUCUGUCCUCACGCGAACAAUGAUUUUCGUCAUUCUCUCUAGGUCCCUCGCAGAGUUUCCACAGAACAACUUCAUAUCCAGCUUUUUAUGAUGUCGAUCUAUUGUUGUAAAUUCAAAAUGGGCUUGUAUUUUCUUUUCCAUAUUUUUACUCUGUGUCUGUCCCAAUAACGAUUAGCUUUCCACUCCGAUUCUCGAACCAGCGACAUCUGUAUCAGUAUCUCAGCUUCUACUUUCUUAUCAUUUUUGCUAUCUGUCGAAGUGUGUAAAAACUAGGAAGCAAUGCUGUGUACGCCAGUACUUCUUCCAACUGUCGACUUUGGCUCUAACUAAUAUUCAGCAAUUAGGAAUAACCAACAUCUGUCCUUUUCUUCACAUUUUAACUUAAACGCGAACUUCAUAUCAGUGUAAUUUACAGUGUCUGUACUGGUACUGCAGCUAUGCUGUACGGUACCUGGCAUCACUUACACUCUGCAGCAUGUAUUGCAGACUGUAAGUUACGAACUUAUUCAACAUUUCUAAACUAGUAGAGAGCUAUGAUAUGGGAGAAGUUAGCUGCUAAGAGAAAAUAAAGUAAUGUUAGAAGUAAAAUUAUUUAUUGAUUUAUUUCAGAGGCCGAUAAUUCUUUUUAAAUUACAAAAUCAAGUGAUAUGUUUUCACAAAGACCAAGUCUGAAAACAACUAUUUUCUGAUAAAUAUCCAAAAAAAUUAUCAUAAUUUGCUCGAACAGAUUCUGAGAUGUUCAUCAGAAAAAGGUGGCAUGUCUAAUAACGUACAUACGUCUGUGAAGCAAACGUUUGCACCAAAUAAUAUUAAUCAGUAGUUGGGAAAUUAGUACUAAAAAUUUAAAGCUUUACACACAGGACUGUGAAGCAGUCAAAGGGAAUUAAUAUGUCUUUAUAUCCAUAAUCAUAGCAGGUAAUGGAUUUACAACGAUGUAUACGUCCGUAAUGCAGGCUGAGGGGAUAGUAACAGCUUUUACGAGCAACGAAAUCCCAAACAAGUGAAGAGCCUCGGGUAUACAAAUUAGACAGUGUAGCAACGGCUUGACUUAGGCCGACCUGAUCCCCUCUUACAAACAAAUGAGAAUUUGCUUCAGAGAGAAUUUUGUCACUAGGAUUAUGAUCCAUACAAAGCCAUCGGGCAAAUACGGUCAGUUGAAGGACCCGAAUCAGUUUAAUGUCGUUAUAACAAGCGGCACUUCGAAGUGAAAGCACAGAGAGUCCAUGUUCAUCAGCCACGGCAGCUGGAACACACCCGUAGUCCAACUCCAGAAUACGGCCUAAUAGUGCACAAGCAGGGUAAAGUUGCAAAUUCCUAUUGGGCGAAGGCUCGGUCCGCGAAGUAAACAUCAACCGUGCCGACUCGAUGAGCAAUCAUCAAGGCUUUGAGGUACAAGCCUCUGCACUACACGCGGUCCCAUUGAAACAGCCAAGACCCAUCCGGUCACGUCUGAGCUGCGCGAGUGCUUCAAUCCCUUGCGGAGUUUUCCUGGGCACCACCACUCGGGGCGACAAGGAAGAAGAAGCAAAGCAACGCUACGUCGAGUUUCCUCAACACAGGAAUAGAUGUAGCCGCGGAUGCGGCUCAGUUUCCUGUUAUUUCGUAAUGACACUCGACUAUAGUUUAGAGUGGAAAGCGGGGAAGGGCUCCCGUAUAAAACGACAUUUCAAGCAGAAGUGCUGAUGUUUGCUUCAUCAAGACACGUUACCUACGUUCAGACAUCUGUAACAGGUAGAUAGUUCAAAAAUUCAGAGUAUCAGCUUAAUGUUUGUGAUUGAAAAAAUUAUACCGUCUAUAAUUUAAUGGUUAUCAUUCUAGCACCUGCUUCAUUGCAUGGAAAAGUAGUUUUACACUCGUCUAUUCGCUUCGUUUCCUAGUCGAUGCAAUUAGCUGUAUAAUGCCAUAUGAGUCUAAACUUGUGGGAAAGAAGUAAUCAGAUUACUUAUUCACAAACAACUUUUCUACUUCCUACAUAAAAGUAUGGCUUGCUAGCAGAUGUUUCAUUAUACAAAUGGAUGUUCUAUGAUAUAGCCUUUCAAUAAGACAGCUCUUCAGUUCAUCACGGGGAACAGUCUCUAAUUUUUCAGUAGAUCUAGUGAUUUUUUUUAUAUUUACGAGUGACUGUUGCUUUCUCGAAGGUAAGAAUAACUUUUAUUUGUCUUUUGCAAACGCAUUUUUACUGGAGUUUCUACCGAAGAUGGAUUCAUCUUAUUAACGAGGGUUGUCCAGAAAGUAAGUUCCGAUCGGUCGCGAAAUCGAAACCACUGGGAAAAUCCGGUAAAGCUUUGCGCAGAUGUGUUGGGCAGUGUCUGUAGUAUGUCCGUCGAUCUUGUCGCGUUUUGAGUGAACGGUGAACACGUGAAGAUGCAUAGGGAAUAGCGUUUCCCGCCAAGUAUGAGGGCCUGGUUAGAGGUUUCGCCUGUGUCAUGCAGCCCACAUAACACAACUGUCGAGCAGUUCCUUAUUCAUGCCAAUUCUCGGCCGCACACUGCAGGGGCAAUGAAGAUGCUCCCGCAGCGUUUCCGAUGAGAAGUGUUUGAUCACCCACAAUACAGUCCGUAAAUGGCUCCCCCUGAGUCUCAUCUCUGCUCACAAGAACAGCUGGCUAUGAAGACAAAAUUUUUCCACAGACAGUGAGCUGUAGACCAGUGAAGAUAACUGGCCGAAAGCACAAGUGGCUGCUUCCUAUGACGAAGAUAUUCGAAAGCUGAUACAACACUACGACAAAACUCGAAGUUGGCGGGACGACUAUGUAGAGAAGUAGGUGAAAGGUGUACCCAACUGUUGCAAAUAAAACGUUUCUGAUUUUCACUGUGGUUUCCAUUUCGCGACCGAUCGGAACUUACUUUCUGGACAACCUUCGUAUUAAGCGGUUGGUUUUUAUACAUCUAACGGUUUACAAAGCAUUUUUAUAUGUUAGCUACGAGGUAAAAAAUAUUCUUCUUAUAAUUUACCGUACUGCUCACAUCUGAACUCUAACCUCAUGAAGUUGCAUGCUUUAAGUAGGAGUAUAUAUGUUUUA